rnacentral:rRNA from 1 species
UACGUAGGGCGCAAGCGUUGUCCGGAAUUAUUGGGCGUAAAGAGCUCGUAGGCGGUUUGUCGCGUCUGCUGUGAAAACCUAAGGCUCAACCUUGGGCUUGCAGUGGGGUACGGGCAGACUAGAGUGCGGUAGGGGUGACUGGAAUCCUGGUGUAGCGGUGGAAUGCGCAGAUAUCGGAAGGAACAUCAGUGGCGAAAGCGACUUCCUGGACCAGUACCGGACGUCAGGCACGAAAGCGUGGGGAGCAAACAGG